rnacentral:tRNA from 1 species
GCUGUGAUGGCCGAGUGAUUAAGGCGUUUGACUAGAAAUCAAAUGGGAUCUUCCCGCGUAGGUUCAAAUCCUACUCACAGCG